rnacentral:rRNA from 1 species
UACGAGUGCCUCGAGCGUUAUCCGGAAUCAUUGGGCGUAAAGGGUGUGUAGGCGGCGAUGUUAGUCUCAUGUUAAAUCUUUCGGCUCAACCGAGAGUCCGCAUGGGAAACGGCAUUGCUCAGAGGACGGAAGGGGUCACUGGAACUCAUGGUGUAGCGGUGAAAUGCGUUGAUAUCAUGGGGAACACCAAAAGCGAAGGCAAGUGACUGGUCCGCUCCUGACGCUGAGGCACGAAGGCCAGGGGAGCAAACGGG